AGUGAAGGAGCCGGGCGGCCACUACAAUGCAGCCCGGAGCCGUGGCCCCUUUAGGUGAACCAGUCGCCAAGAGUGUUCCAGGAUGCCCGGCGGGCAGCGUAUGGGGCGGAGCCGGUUAACCUAGCACUGCGGCCGCCAGUGAGUGCAGUGCGGCGCCUUGCAGUGAGGCGCGGUGCUGCUUUGGCGGGCCUCGAGCCCCGCGCACUGCACAUCCGGGUCCUGACGCGGCAGAGAGAGAUCGAGCUUUGCACCCACUGGCUGGCCCCAGGCGGAGAAAUGUGGGACCUCCGGAGCUCCUGCAUCCCUCAACCUUGCGUGCGACAUCCUCCACCCCGCUGCUAUCUGCCUCCUCAGCCACAGUAACCUUUUGGAAUCUUCAGUAACGGGAACCUAGUCCUGCUCAAGAGCUCUCUGUGGCUCCCCACUGCCCACAGGCAGCGGAGCUCAAAUUUUCUACCUGUUCCAGAGAAAGAGGAAAGGAGAGAGAAAAACAUCAAUGUGAGAAGCACCAAUUGGUUGCCUCCAGCACUCACCCCAACCAGGGAUCGAACCUGCAACCUAGAUAUGUGCCCUGACUGGGAAUGGAACUUGCAACCUUUCAGUUAUGGGACGACACUCCAAACAACUGAGCCACACUGGCAAGGGCAAGAGAUCCUGAACCAGGUUGUGGCUGCUUUUGCACUCUGCUGAAGUGUCGCGCCUUCCCCAGGCUUCUGCCGAAUGCGGGUCUGGGGAUGGCGGUGGGGAGAGGUCCUCAGCCAACAUCUGACUCCUUCCCUGUGGCAGUGGGCCUGAACACCUCUCCAUGAAGGGUAAUUGUGUGUGGUGGGGCGAGACUUAAAUUUCCCUAUUCCCCCUAAAUUUUCCCCCGGCUUCUGCAAUUUACACUAA